AGAGAUGUCGAGGGGCUGUACCUCGCCAGCGAUUUGGACAAGCGGCUAUUGAUCUACUUCCCCUUCAUGCAAGUGGUCAAGCUACAUUCCGUGCUAUUCAAAGGCCCUAAGGAUGACUGCCCCAAAACUGUAAGACUUGUCCAACAAAGAUCAUAUGGGUUUUAGCAAUGACAAUGACUAUCUACCAAUGGACAUCGUGGAGCUAUCUUCCGAUCAUUUGAUAGAGGACAAAGUUUCUGAUGAGGUUGUAUUCAAGGCCAUGGGGAGGGCUAUCAAUAAGACUGUUAUGGUUGUGGAAUUGAUCAAGAGGAGGAUUGUUGGCCUCCAUCAGAAUACCACCACUGGAUCUACUGAUAUUACUGAUAUGUGGGAGCGCAUUGGAAGAAGGCCUACUUCCGCUUGAGACAACAAGACAUGUCUCUAUGAUCACUAUAACUCUUUCAAAGAAGGAGCUGGACACAUCAUCUAUCGGGCGCUGAAGCAGCUGUCGCGGGAGCAGGUGCAGGUGGCCACCAAGUUCGAGAUACAGCGUGACGAGAGCGGCACGCGGACCGUGUGCGGCCGGCCGGAGUACGUUCGCGCCUGCUGCGAGGCCAGCCUGCGCCGCCUCGGCAUCGACUGCAUCGACCUCUACUACCAGCACCACAUUGACACCACAAUUCCCAUCGAGGAGACGAUUGGCGAGCUCAAGAAGCUGGUGGAGGAGGGUAAGGUCAAGUACAUCGAAUUGUCAGAGGUGAGCCCGGACACCAUCAGGCGUGCACAUGCUGUGCACCCGAUCACCGUGGUGCAGAUGGAGUGGUCUCUCUGGUCUCGCGACAUUGAGCCCGAAAUUGUGCCGCUCUGCAGAGAAUUGGGCAUUGGAAUUGUACCAUACAGUCCUCUUGGCCAUGGGUUUUUUGGUGGAAGAGGAGUGAAAGAACAAGUGUCUGCUGAAUCUAAUCUGCAUGGGAUCCCAAAGUUUGCUCCAGAAAAUUUGGAGAAGAAAAAGCAAAUUUAUUUGCGAAUGGAAGAGCUGGCCAACCAGCACCAGUGCAGCCCUGCUCAGCUAGCUUUAGCAUGGGUUCUGCAUCAAGGAGAUGAUGUGGUUCCUAUACCAGGGACAACCAAAAUCAAGAAUCUAGAUUCCAACAUUGACUCCUUGAAGGUGAAACUGACAGACGAAGAUCUGAAAGAAAUAGGCAGCCAGAUACGGGAAGAAGAUGUGGCUGGUGGAAGACAAUUCACUUCAUUUGCACAUACCACCUGGAAGUACGCUGAUACGCCAAAGAAGCAGAGCUAAAAAAAUACUUGAAAGCAACAAUGAUGAUGCGAUUGGUAUGGCCCUCUCCCUGCAGAUGCCCUCAGGAACAUUGUCGAUGUCACUUUGUGAACAAUGUAAAUAAAUAAUGUAUGGAGAAGAACAAUGAAGUGCCCAAUCUUGUUGGAAGUACGAAUUAUGUACAGUUACAGGAAUGUGUGCUACCAUAUAUUUCGUCGCAUCAGUUUGAGUUGUGGUUGUGUGAACCUA